rnacentral:rRNA from 1 species
AUGGCGGCACGCCCGCCGCCCAGCCCGGCCUCCACCCCGCGCCGCCACCACCACCACCUCAACCCGGCUGCGAUGCCCGGCCGCCGCAACCGCCAGCUCACCCGCUGCUUCCCAGAGCCGCUCCCCAACCCCCCACCGUCCCCGAACCCCCCGAACCCGCUCCUCUCCCUCCUCACGGCCGUGCCCGACUGGGCGGACGCGGUGUCGGAGCGGCGCAUCCGGGAGCCGCGGCCGCUGUACACGCACGAGCAGUGGCGGGAGCACCGGAGCUCGCUGCGCCACCUGCGGCACCUCCUCUCCUCGCUCUCCUCCCGGGUCAUCCUCUCCCUGGUCCCGCCCGUCUCCGCCUUCACCGCCUUCGCCGCCGCCGUCGCCACCUACAACACGCUCGCCCCGGACUACGCGCUCACCGCCUCCUCCCUGCCCUACCAGCUCACGGCGCCCGCGCUCGCGCUCCUGCUCGUCUUCCGCACCGAGGCCUCCUACGCGCGCUUCGACGAGGGCCGCAAGGCCUGGAUGCGCGUCCUCGCCGGCGCCACCGAGCUCGCCGGCAUGGUCAUGCAUUCCUGCGCCGCCGGUGAGCGCGGGGACAACGACACCGGCACCGGCGCGCUCGUCAACUACAUCCUCGCCUUCCCCGUCGCGCUCAAGUGUCAUAUAACCAGCAACUCCGACAUCAGAAAGGACCUUCAGGGCUUGCUCGCAGAGGAUGACCUGAAUGUUAUCAUGAGCUCAGAACACCGGCCUCGUUGCAUCAUCGAGUUCAUUUCGCAGAGUCUCCAGAUGUUGGAUUUCGAGGAACAUAAGCGGAGCAUCAUGGAGUCUAAACUGUCUUGUUUCCUUGAAGGAAUUUGUGUGUGCGAGCAGAUCAUCGGGAUUCCCGUUCCUCUGUCAUACACUAGGCUUACUUCACGGUUUCUUGUCCUGUGGCAUCUUACACUUCCAAUCAUACUAUGGGCAGAAUGUAAAUGGAUAGUCGUUCCAGCUACUUUUGUCAGUGCUGCCUCCUUAUUCUGCAUCGAGGAAGUGGGGGUCCUCAUCGAGGAGCCGUUCCCGAUGCUAGCGCUCGACGCGCAGUGCCAGCAGCUCCACGACAGCAUGCGCGACAUGAUGUCGGUGCAAGGCCUGGUCCGAAAGCAACUGGCCGCCAAGACCAAGGGCCGCGGCAGAGGCGGCGGUAGGCUCCCGCAGAACGGCUGGCCCGUCUCCAGCUCCAGGGGCGAGCAGGUGAAGGUCGACUGA